CAUAAAGAGAGAAGAAGAUUAAGCGCAAAAUCUUAUAAAUUGUCUUCGUUUGGAUUGGAAGUAGCCUGUGCAGUGUGCAAUUAUUGAGCGAUGGAAAAAAAUCUUAAGAGAACUUCAAAGGAAAACUGUGAGGCUGGACCUUUGAAAAGCAAACGUGAAUACUCAAUGAUUGCGAAUGAUCGCAAUUGACGUGCAACCGUUUAGUGUUGUCAAUGAUAGAGGAUUUCGUGAGUUGUUAGCAGAA